rnacentral:rRNA from 1 species
GAUGAACGCUGGCGGCGUGCCUAAUACGUGCAAGUCGAGCGAAUGGAUUAAGAGCUUGCUCUUAUGAAGUUAGCGGCGGACGGGUGAGUAACACGUGGGUAACCUGCCCAUCAGACUGGGAUAACUCCGGGAAACCGGGGCUAAUACCGGAUAACAUUUUGAACCGCAUGGUUCGAAAUUGAAAGGCGGCUUCGGCUGUCACUUAGGGAUGGACCCGCGUAGCAUUAGCUAGUUGGUGAGGUAACGGCUCACCAAGGCAACGAUGCGUAGCCGACCUGAGAGGGUGAUCGGCCACACUGGGACUGAGACACGGCCCAGACUCCUACGGGAGGCAGCAGUAGGGAAUCUUCCGCAAUGGACGAAAGUCUGACGGAGCAACGCCGCGUGAGUGAUGAAGGCUUUCGGGUCGUAAAACUCUGUUGUUAGGGAGGAACAAGUGCUAGUUGAAUAAGCUGGCACCUUGACGGUACCUAACCCGAAAGCCACGGCUAACUACGUGCCAGCCGCCGCGGUAA